CCUUAAGAGUUGGGUUGAUUGUGGUACUUUCUAUAAGAGUUGUAUCAUCUGUGGUCUCUCUUCUUUCAUUUCUUCCGCAUCAUUAUUAGGUUAUAUCAAAGGAAUGUUAAUGUUAAUGUCCCUCAACCGCAGCAGCAGAAUGCUGAGUCCGUGUGGGCGGCACUAGGGCUUGCAGAUGAGCCUGCGGUGCAGCCUUGCUCUGAGGUGAAGAAGAAUGAGGUUUCGCCUAGGACUGCAGCGACGCUCAUUCCAGGUCCGGCAGUUGUUACGUUGGGGUGGAGAGGAAGCCAGGUUGCCCUCUGAAGGCUGUGCUCACUGCUGAUGUUGUUGCUGCUGUUGUGGCGGCAGCUGAAGCUUCAAGUGGUGACUCCUAUUAUGUUCAUUGUUGUUUCUGAUCUUGCCACUGUUGUGAAUGCAUUGCUGUUGGUUCCCGUGGUUGUGCUUGCCAGUCAUCAUAACCGGGUCAUUCAUUUGAGUUAUGAAAUUUUAUAUCUAUCUGAGUUGAUUUUGUUUUCCCCUUUUUAUUUUUAUUUGUUUGUUAUUCUGACAAACGGAUCUAAAGAAACCAUUUAAGUACCUCCAUAUAGCUGAGAAAAUAAUCUCUCUCUCUUAGUAAAAUGUGCUACUAUCAUGUCUCUCUUCUGCAAUUUUUUUUCAAGAAUCAAUUAUUGGAAAAUGCAAUGUGAUUUCCACAUCAAUAGACCAGAGAAUCCUGAACCAUCUGAAACAGAGUUGAAGAGAGCUGAUUUGUUUUUCAAUUAUGCAUAUGCGUUAGUUGCUAGCCGUGCAAAACUUGAUAACUUUACAACUGAAGGUUAGUUAUUUGCAUAUGAUAUUUGUUAAUUUUGGUAAGAUAGAUAUUUUAGUUGUGAUGUUUGUAUUCGUGAGCAGAGCACCAUUUUUUAUUCAUAUGUUGAUUUUUUUUAUGCAUUAAUUAAUGAUUAUGUCCACAUGUACAAUAUAUAGUAAUAUUACUUAAGAAUGAUAAGAGUUUCUUUCUUUUCUUUCCCUUUAUUUUUACAUUUUAUGACUGAUUCAUUGGGCACUGUGUUCGUAUAGUGCAAGUAGGUACAUACAGUGUUGGAUGUGGCUGAAGCUGCCACUACAACUGUGAGAUUUCUGGACAUACAUCAUAAAUUUUGGGACACUUUACAUCUCUAUGAUUCAAGCCUAAAUAUUUUCAGGAGGCUACCAUUAGAUUGACACAAGUGGAUAGAGUAGCGGAGCAUUUAUCACGUCAUAUUAUGGAGCUUCAUGAAGUAAUGAGUAAGUUCAAGGAUUAGUUCUCACCAACUAUUUUGUGUAAGUUUUAGUAGAUAAUGUUAUGCAUUUAUUAGCAUUCACCUCUCCUUUACUAUCAAAAUUCAUGGUUGCCAAUUUUUGCGUAUUGCUCUUUGCUCAUUUGUUAAUCCAAUAUUAUAGUUCAUGGUUCUAACAAUGAUGUUUUAUACUGAAAUAGUCAACCUGUUUGCUGCAAGUUUAUAUACAAAUUUUAGAAGCUCUAUAUAUGGCAUGGCACCUUCUACCUGCGUUUUAUGGAUCAUUUGGCUCAUUUGAUUUAGUUCACCAAAGGUUCUGGUAGUUACUUUUGGCCAGUGAUGGGAUUCGAAGAUUGCUAAUUUCAUCGGCAUGGUAAUUACUAAAUCAUGUUUUGAACAAAAGUUGACGACAUUAAUUACUUAGUGGAGGAAGAUAAUCUAUUGAUGGUUUUGAUUUGUGCCAUUCUCUUUUUUUUUUUGUGAAAUGUUGAAGUGAAUUUUGUAUUUUGGGGUUUAUUUGGGUUAAUUGCACAAAUAAUUUGUAGAAGUUUUUUCAUAUUUUGAGUUAAUACCCUGUUAUAGAAAACUCUUGAAAAAAAAGUUUUUUAUUUGAUUUGAUCUUAUUUUUUAAGGUGAUUUUUUUGAUAUGGUUAAUUUAUUAGUAAUAUAAAUAAAGAAUUUAUUUAGAUUUUGGCUAUGUUGGAUUGUGCUCUCUAUGGAUCUCAGUUUUUCUAAAACAAAAAUUGCAUUUACGUAGUAUUUUUAUGCAAAACUGAUAUUGUUAACUAAAGCUUUACAUAAAAUGAUUUGGACUUGAUUAUUGUAGUUGUCAUCUCACUUUUUGGUGAGAGCUUUACCUUUAAUUAAAUAUAGAUUGUCUUCAAAUUCAUGGCUGAUUACUAAAUUGUAUCAAGCUUGCUAGGAGGUAUUUUCAGGUUAAAUUUUAUUAUUAGCAUGUAAUAAAAGUAAAUUGAAGUCUUUAAUUGAAGUCCUUAUGAAACCAAAAAAAUGUGUUUUACUUCUUUAAAUUUCUAAUUUUAUUAUAAUUUUUAAGUUGGAAUACAUGGGGGAUUGUUAAUCCCAUCACCUUGAAAUUUUGCAAGGAUAGUAGUGGUUUUGUUAAUCUUGGGUUGAAUUUUAUAUUUUUCUUUGAAAUUUAGAAAUUCUUUUCAGGUUAUUGUUGGUGUGUUUACUAUUCGCCUAUUUGGAUUUUUUUGUAAUUUAGCUAAGCCAUAUAUCUCACAUUACAUUUUUACAGAUACAUUUUAUUCAUAACAAUGUGUAGAAAUUAAAAUUGUGAACUAUCUAUUUCUUUGGAUAACAGGUGUACUUACAUUCAAGAUUCAAAAUAUGCUUGGCUUAUAUUAGACUAUUAAUUUUUUUAAAAGAAAGAGCAAAUAAUACUUAUGCUACUACUACUAGGCACUAGCUGUUAGUGAACAAUAGUAAAUAUGUGAAAUGUGUAAUGAAAUGGAAUGGUUGCUGUUAGAUGGUAGUUUCUUUGGUUGGAGUUACAAUAGAAAAAAGAACAAAUAAUACUUAUGCUAUUUGGUACUAGCUUUUGGUGAGCAAUAGUAAGUCUAUGAAAUAUGUAAUGGAAUAGAAUGGAUGCUGCUAUAUGAUAGUUCUUUGGUUGGAGUCACAUUAGCAGCUAAUUUGUAAUACUUAUCAUUAACUAUUGUUGUCAACUACAUAAGUAAAGCAACAUGCUUCUUCAUGCUUAUGACGGAUGAAAGUAAUGUUAAUAGUCAAUAAUAUUGAAUCGUCCUUGGUAAAUAUUAAAAAAUAAUUAAAAUAGAGUUUGUAAUUAGUUAUUUCAUUUCUUUCUACAGAAUGCAUGAUUAUUGAUAUACUAUUAUUAUUUUGAUUAUUGAGAGUCAGAAGAAUUAUUUUUUUUUCAAAUAAAAAAUGAAUAAAAAAGAGAACGAAAUUCUCUUUCUUUGUUGUUAUUGUAUGUGUUCAUACAUACAUCUAUCAGUAUAGUACAAGUUUAAUUGAUCCCUAAACUUUAAUUUUGGUUUAAUCUAAUAUUAAUGUUCGGUACUUAAUUGAUGCAUAGUUAUUCAUAUUUUUUAUGUUGUGAUUUUGGUAGUUUACUUUGAAUUUUGCUGUCAGAUUUGGUGAAUAAAUGACCAGAAAGUUUUAACCUGUUUUUCGUGAUGUAACAACAGAUAGAGUGAUAACUGAUAAGUUAUAAUAUGCAGUCGAACUUUUUUAAGUAGUUCCAUUAUUUUUUAAGUGUUUUGCAUGCUUAAUUUUGCACAUUUUUUAGGUUGUUCAAUUUAUAAAUGAAGUAUUGAAGUAUGACUUAAUGCAAUAUAUGAUUUUUUGUACAAUAGUUCAUUCAAUUGAACAAUUUUUAUGUUACCAUAUAGCAAGGUUGGUUUGAUAAAAUUAAUAUAUAUUAUCUAUAUGAGUUUUAUAAAAGCCUUUUGUCAGCAAUCGAUUUGGGUUAUGUUGUAGUUGUUUUUUGAUUAUGUUUCUAUUAAGUCAUUUUUAUUCAUCUUUCAAUUAUUUUAUGUUAAAUGCUGCUCUAGGAUAAUAUUUUUUUUCAUUCAUACAUUUUUUUAUGCAGGAGUAUCACUUUAACCAUCAUAUAUUCUGCAUUUGUGUUUUUUUAUUUUUUUUUCUCAUUAUUCCUUAAUUCAUUUUGUCUAUGUAGUUUGGAACAUUAAACAUGCCCGUACUUUGCACGGGUAAUGCACUCAUUUGAAAUUGAUUUUUAUUAUGAUGUAUACUUUAUAAAUCUUAUGAAAAUGUAGUGUUAGAAUUUUCACGUUAGCUGACACACGAAAUUUUGUUACAGGUAAAUUUGUUGAAAUAGUGUUUUUGACUUAUUACCUGAGUUGGUUUAUUAUUUAUAGUCCAACUUCACUUAUCAAUUUGUAUUUCAUUAGCCAUUAUAAUAAUAUCACAAUGCAAAUGGCCAUUUUGGUAAAAAUUAUAUUUAAUUUGUUUAGGAUUUGUUAAGUAUGAAGUUGCUGCUACAUUUGGCAAUGAUAGAGUUUAUUUAGAAAAGUAUGUCUAGAACCAAAGAUACGUUAAGUUUCAGAUAAUGUUAUCAUUUUUUGUCUAAGGGAACUUUGUAAUUUAACUAGAGCCUCUAGUAGGAGAAUAGGGAGGGAAUUUGAUUUAUUUAAAUUGUUGAUUUGAUGGAAAUGUUCAAUUUGAAAUUAUUGUGUUUUUAACAUA